UACGUAGGGGGCUAGCGUUGUCCGGAAUCAUUGGGCGUAAAGAGCUCGUAGGCGGUCUGUUGCGUCCGCUGUGAAAACUCGGGGCUUAACCCCGAGCCUGCAGUGGAUACGGGCAGACUAGAGGUAGGUAGGGGAGAAUGGAAUUCCCGGUGUAGCGGUGAAAUGCGCAGAUAUCGGGAGGAACACCGGUGGCGAAGGCGGUUCUCUGGGCCUUACCUGACGCUGAGGAGCGAAAGCGUGGGGAGCGAACAGG
rnacentral:rRNA from 1 species